CCUCAAAUUCUCAUCAGAGACCUCACUGGAGUCGAACCUCCUUCCUUUCUUCCUUCCCCUCUUUCCUAUGGCUUCAUGCACCCUUGCGGACUGUCAGGUUCGUCAAAAAAUCCACAAAACCAUGAGGCCCUAUUUUGCUCUGUUCGAUCGAGCCUUCUCUUGUUUCUGACCACCGACACUACUGCCUAUGGUGUCGCACC
rnacentral:lncRNA from 1 species